UGGCUGGGGCCGCGGGGUCAACGAAACUUUUCCCCGGCUCGCCGGUCGCCGCCGGCAGUUGGCAGAGUAGCUGGUGGAAGAAGCGGGCUGGUGGGGUGCAAGUGAUGACGACGGUGACAACAAUAGCAGCCCCGGGUCCUGGAGAGCCUACUGUGCGCACGGAGCCCCUGGCGCUGCUUACUGGGAGGAGACGGGGACUGAUGCUGCUCGAAUGGCCACUUUUACUAGGUAUCGAAGGCAACUUCAUCCGUUUCUAGCCAUCAAUCCAUCCACCAUCCACCCGUGCAUCCAUCCCUCCAUCCACUCACCCACUGGACACUGUUUACUGCUGCCCGCAGUGUGCCUGGCCUGGGAUUCAGUGACUAACCAGACAGGUCCCAGUCCUCCAAGGCAGCAUUCCAUGGACUGCCGGUGCCAGGGAGCAGUUCUGUCUCUUGUGUGUUGAUUCUGGGACGUGGUCUAGGAGAGAGAGAGAAUUCUUGCACAGUCUCCUGGGCCUGGGUAGGGACAGAGAAGAGAUGUUGUGUCCAGGAGUCCGCAGGCUAACCUGGAGUUUGGGACCCACCCUCCUCCCUCCCUUCCCAACCUCCAGGCUCAGGCUGGGUGGCCCAGUGGGGUCAGGAGGCUCCACUCUGCUACUGGCCCCCACUAGUGUCCAGCUGCCCUUCUGGGAUGCCCCUCUCGGGGCCUUUCUCCCAGCACCUUCUAGGAGCUUAGCUGCUCCCCUUCCCAUUUCCACUGCUCCCCUGAAUGGCCCAGAGGGAAGCCUGGUAAGUGGCCAACAAUUAUGAAAUUAAACUGGGGGAAGGAAGUGGGGCUGAGCUGGUUGGACAGGAGUGGAACCAUGGUGGGGGACUUGUUGGCAGGGUUCUGUUGCACUGGGGGUGGGAUGCCAAGCCGUGGGGACACUAAUACCCUCCAUACCCUAAGUGGCCUUGACCAAGGGGGGAAAAUUAUACCAACUUCAUGAGUAAUCUGUCACAUGGCUAAAAAUGCUUUGGGGGAUGCCAGAGAGGCCACCAGCUGACCGCUAGCUACAUCCCAGCUGAGAGUGGUGCCUUGGUCUUCUGGAGCCAAAGGUCUAGGAGACCAUUCUGGGAGGGGGGCUUGUGUUUCUGCCUGGGUUGAGGCUGGGGAGAGCACAGGGCUGUGAGCUGUUGGUGACAGGGAGGCAUCUGGAGCCAGGUGCAGACUACAGGGGCCCGCUGUGUGGGAGCCAUGCGUAAUAAACUGUGCUUCAAGAUGCCGGGCUCCCUGCAAAUUGGCUUUCCAAGUGGCAGCCCCUCAACACUUGUAAAAUCUUUUUUCUCAAGAUGGAUUUCUGUGAAAUGGUUACAUCUAUUCGAGUGCUCGUUGGAGGUACAUUAAUUGGCUGAUGGCUAGUCAAAAGGCCUAAUCCAGGCACUGAGGGGUAAUCGUGUGUCGGAAGUGGCUCAACGUGGGCUGCUUUCCGAUUUAUGCCUCGCCCCAGGAAUUUCAGAAGAUCUGGAUUGAAGUAGAUCCUCAAAAUUCUGAUGCGGCAGUCUCCGAGGUCACCCACAUGUGGGAUGAAGCACCUCAGAUGUAGGUCCUGUGUGAGGUUCUGGAAUGGCACACCCACCCAGGCCGGUACCCUGGGUCUGCACUUAUGGACCAAUAGGCAGGUCUAGAUUAGGUAACAGAUGGGAUUUUGGGGGUGUUUUUCCUAGUGCCCAAACGGCAUCAGAAAUACACAGACUGAUGUAUGGAAUAAUUGUUCAAGAAAAGCUGCUUUUCAACAUUUCCGAGUCCAGCCUUGGGACUACGAGACCUUCCUCCGAUGAGAGUGAUUGAGUUCCGUUGUUCUGCCUUGAACUUGCUGCCUUCCCAGCCAGGCAGCCACAGCCCCUCCUGUGCCC
rnacentral:lncRNA from 1 species